AGCAAGGUAAUAAGUGCAAGCACUGAAAGUAGCAGUAACAAGUGAUUGUGUAGCGAGGUGAAACGUAGCGAGCAAAAAGUAACAAGUAACAAGUAGUAGCAACGGUGCAGCAAGUGGCCCAAUCCCUUUUGUAGCAAGGGACAAGCCUGAACAAAGUCUUAUAGGAGGAAAAACGCUCCCAAGGACACACGGGAAUUUCUGUCAUGCUAGUUUCAUCAUGUUCAUAUGAUCCGCGUUCGUUACUUUGAAAGUUUGAUAUGUGGGUGGACCGGCGCUUGGGUACUGCCCUUACUUGGAC
rnacentral:lncRNA from 1 species